AUCCAGCUGACGAGUCCCAAAAUGGGAUGAGACGUGCGUCCUAGAU
rnacentral:hammerhead_ribozyme from 1 species